rnacentral:rRNA from 1 species
UACGUAGGGUCCGAGCGUUAAUCGGAAUUACUGGGCGUAAAGCGUGCGCAGGCGGUUUUGUAAGCCGGAUGUGAAAGCCCCGGGCUCAACCUGGGAACUGCAUUUGGGACUGCAAGGCUGGAGUACGGCAGAGGGAGGUGGAAUUCCACGUGUAGCAGUGAAAUGCGUAGAGAUGUGGAGGAACACCGAUGGCGAAGGCAGCCUCCUGGGCUAGUACUGACGCUCAUGCACGAAAGCGUGGGGAGCAAACAGG